rnacentral:rRNA from 1 species
AAAAGGAAAUUUGUUUAAUCAAAUUAAUUUGAGAUUUUUAAAAUUAUUAAUUUUGUUUUUAAAUAAAAUAAUUUUAUGUUUUAUUAAUAUUUAAGAAAAAAUUUUUUUAAUUAUAGUUUAUUAGUAUAGUGAUAGAAAUUUGAAAUAUAUGAAAAUAUAAAUUUUAAAAAGAAGAAUUUUAUUUUUGUACCUUGUGUAUCAGGGUUUAUUAAUUAAUAAUUAAUUUUUUAAUUUUCUCGAUUUAAAAAGAGUUAAUAAAAUAUUUAUUUUAAUGUAAAAUUAUUAUUUAUAAUUUUUUAUUAGUAAUGAAAUACUAUUCGAUUUUUAAUAUAUCUAGUUUCUUAAGAAAUAAAUUUAAUUUAUUUAUUAAAAUUUAUAAAUUUAAAUUUUAAAUUUUUUGAUUUUAAUAUUAAAAAUUUUUAGGGAAAAGCUUAAAAAUUAAUUUUUAUAAAGUAUAAAUUUUAAAUUAAAUGUAGGAUUAGAAAUUUUUAUCAUUAAUAAUUUGUUAAAAUAAGUUUUAUUUUUAGUAUUAUUUUUAUAAUUUUUAAAUUUUUUAUUAAGAAAUUUUAAUUAAUUUUUAAUUAAAAUUUAUAAUGAUAAAAUUAGUAUAUAUUUUUAUGUAAAAUUAAUUUAUUUAAAUUAGAUUAGUAUAAGGAAUUCGGCAAAUUUAUGUUAUUCGCCUGUUUACUAAAAACAUGUCUUAUUGAUAAUAAUUUUAAGUCUAAUCUGCCCAAUGAGUAAUUAAAUGGCUGCAGUAUUUUAACUGUACAAAGGUAGCAUAAUAAUUAGUCUCUUAAUUAGGGACUAGAAUGAAUGAUUGAACGAGAUAAUAACUGUCUCUUAUUAAAUUUUAGAAUUUUAUUUUUAAGUUAAAAAGCUUAAAUUUAUUUAAAAGACGAGAAGACCCUAUAGAGUUUUAUAUUUUACUUAAUUUAAAAUUUAGAUUAAAAUUUUUAUUUUUUUAAAAAAAUAUUUAAUUGGGGUGAUUAAAAAAUUUAAUGAACUUUUUUAUUUAAAAUCAUUAAUUAAUGAAUUAUUGAUCCAAUAUUUUUGAUUAUAAGAUUAAAUUACCUUAGGGAUAACAGCGUAAUUUUUUUUAAGAGUUCUUAUCGAAAAAAAAGAUUGCGACCUCGAUGUUGGAUUAAAAUUAAUUUUUGGCGUAGAAGUUAAAAAAUUAGGUCUGUUCGACCUUUAAAAUUUUACAUGAUCUGAGUUUAAAUCGGCGUGAGCCAGGUUGGUUUCUAUCUUUAAAUUAUUAAUAUAUUUUAGUACGAAAGGACCAAAUAUAUAUAAAAUUUAUUAAAAAUUGAAUAAUAUUAAUUAAUUACUUUGGCAGAUUAGUGCGUUAAAUUUAGAAUUUAAAUAUGU